GAAUGGUCGAACCACUGGUGGUAGCCGGUGACGGUCUCCGCCGGUGCGCGUUCCGCGAAGGUUCGGUUAAAUAAAAAAAGGGAUAUUUUCCAAUAUUUUAUCGACAGCGGCCUUGAAGCCUGGUUUAUUAAUACGCGGCCAGCUUAGCGGCCAAGGACUCGAUCGUUCCUCCCCAAGAGCGGAGCCCCGGAGCUCUGUUCUCCUCUUUCUCUUCUCUUGUCUUCUCUUGUCGCUUUUUCCAUCCCUCCGUUCGUUUCUUCCGUCUGGGGUGUCAUUAAGGAAUCUGUGGUCAAAAUGGGUCGGAUUGUGUAAAACCAGUCGUUGGAGUGGGAGUAGGUUUAACGUUAGAAUGGUAGUGAUUUCGUGAAAGUGUAAACAUAAGACUUUUAGGAGAUCCGACAAUUCAAUGGUCAUGGGGACGGGCAUCCGUGACUUGCGAGGCAUGACGAGCGAAUUCAAAUACGAUCAGCUCUUCUCCACGAGCAGUUUCACACCAGGAGUGCCACCCAUGUUAGAUAACAACAGCUUCAUCGACCUCCAAAAUAUUCCCUUCAAUCCGAUCAUCUCCGGUCCCACGUCCUCCGCCCCCACCGCCGAUGCCACCACCUCAUCCGCGGAGGCGGAUUCCGCCGAAGACUCGGAGAUUUUCUCCGACAUAGUCCUCAGCUACAUUAACCAGAUGCUCAUGGAUGAGGACAUGGAUGAUAAAUUCGAGCAGUUUCAAGAGCACCCAGCUCUUCUAGCUGCAGAGAAACCCUUCUAUGAUAUCCUUGCUGAGAAUCACUCUCCUCCUCCUGAUCAUCCACCAUUAUAUUCCAACUAUAGCUCGGAGAGUCCUGAUGAUGGUGUCAACAACCACUACGGGAGUUCCAGUUGCAGCAAUAGUGUGGUGGUAGACGGUAGCUGGCCCUGUGAUUCAGUCGAGUACCAGCAGUUACAGACUCACCCUGCUUCCGUCGAUUACUCCUCGCAGUCCUCGUUUUCCUCCACCAAUAGUGUCGGCAACAUCGUAGAAGGAUUUGAUGAGUCUCUGCUGAACUCACUUGCACUUUCUGAUCUCCUCACUCAGAGCCAACCUGCCUGGGAGCAGUUCAGGAGGGGAGUCGAGGAGGCGCGGAAGUUCCUACCAGGGGAGGAUAAGUUGGUGAUCCAUCUAGAGGCCGAUGGCGUCUCUAUACCUCAACAACCGAGGCGAGAGAAUGAAUUGAGGGAGGUCAAGGCGGAGAAGGAAGAAAGGGAGUAUCUGUCUCAGGGAUCGAGGGGCCGGAAGAAUCGUCAUAGUGAUGAUCUGGAGUUGGUGGAGGGGAGGAGCAAUAAACAGUCGGCUGUUUUCCCCGAGCAGACCGUUCGAACGGCGAUGUUCGAUAUGGUGUUGCUGCAUAACGAGCAGUGUACGAAGGGUCCUUGCGAGCUUCGAGCUGCGAUGGAGAAGGAGAAGGAAGCAAGCAAGAGCUCUCAGAGCAACCAAUCCAGAGGGUCUGGCGGUGGGAAGGGUCGCGGGAAGAGGCAACCCAAGAGGGAGGUGGUGGAUCUCAGAACCAUCCUCGUCCAUUGUGCUCAGGCCGUGGCAACCGAUGAUCGACGAAAUGCCGGCGAAUUAUUGAAGCAGAUCAGACAGCACUCUUCCCCUCACGGAGAUGCCGCACAGAGGCUGGCCCACUACUUCGCUGAUGGGCUUCAGGCCCGCCUAGCCGGUACGGGGAGCCAGAUCUACCAUUCUCUCGCGGCGAAACGAACUUCCGCCACCGAUAUCCUCAAGGCGUACCAUCUCUUCAUGUCCGCAUGCCCCUUCAAGAAGAUCUCUCAUUUCUUCUCCAACCAGACCAUUUUGGACGCAGUCGGGAAGGCGAGGAGGGUGCAUAUCGUCGACUACGGCAUCUACUACGGCUUCCAGUGGCCAUGCUUUCUCCAAUGCCUUUCUUCCAGGCCUGGUGGGCCCCCGAGCGUUCGGAUCACCGGUAUUGAUUUGCCCCAGCCAGGCUUCCGUCCGAGGGAGCGGAUCGAGGAGACGGGGCGUCGCUUGGCUGAUUACUGCCGGAGCUUCCAGAUUCCCUUCGAGUACCAUGCAAUCGCAGCCAAAUGGGAGACCGUCCGAGUUGAGGAUCUCAACAUCGAUAAAGAUGAAGUGGUCGUCGUCAACUGUCUGUACCGGCUGAGAAAUGUUGUUGAUGAGACGGUGGUGGUGGACAGCCCAAGAAAUAAGGUCCUGAAUACCAUAAGGAAGAUGAACCCGGAUGUGUUCAUCCAUGGGAUCGUGAACGGCUGCUACGGUGCUCCCUUCUUCGUCACACGCUUUCGUGAAGCGCUGUUCCACUUCUCGGCCUUGUUUGACAUGCUCGAAACGACUGUGCCGAGGGAAGAUGAUCAGAGGCUGCUGAUCGAAAGGGAAAUCUGCGGACGGGAGGCUCUUAAUGUCAUCUCGUGCGAAGGCUUGGAAAGGGUGGAGAGGCCCGAGACUUACAAACAGUGGCACGUGAGGAACCUCCGGGCUGGGUUCACGCUGCUUCCGCUGAAGCCGGAGAUCAUGAAGAAAGCGAGGGACAAGAUGAAGGCAUGCUACCAUAAGGAUUUUGUCGUUGAUGAAGAUAGCGGAUGGCUACUGCAAGGGUGGAAAGGGCGCAUCAUCUAUGCACUCUCCACUUGGAAACCCAACAAUGCUUCCUGACUUUUUUUUCUGCUCAGCCUUAUGGUGUACAUGCAGACUUCUCUUCUGUUAGUCUAGUCCUAUGACUGCUCUUGAUGACUGAUAAUAAGAUGACUGGAGUCUGACUUUCGGAACGAAGAUAGUCAAUGCUGGUGGGAACUGAAGUUGAGGAGCUCCUGAAGUAGGAAACGGAAGAACGAGGAUUCACACCACCUCCUCUGUGGAGUGGUCUCCUGACACUAUUCAUUGAAUUGAUAUUUUGUAGUUCGGUUUUGUAUGGUUUUAUGAAGUUAUGCUAGAACCUCUGAUGAAUGACAAAUUCUGCAGAUGGUGUACUUAGCACACCAUUUCGGUCUGCUGGUCUUUUUGUGCUCUACUUUCAUCAUCCUAGCACAGAUCGUCGUGCUGAUUGGUUAAAUGCAGAGCUUCGAUGUGCCUGAUUGUGUGGCAGGGACCAUUCUGUCAUGCAAAAACCAUGCCUUCCAUAAUUCACUUCUGGCAAAAUGUAGCAUUAAAGUCACGCUGGUGGAUUUGACAUGGUCUGAAAGUGUAACAUGAACCUCAUGAAACUAGGCGGCAGGUAUCUCCGCUUUUCCUCU